rnacentral:tRNA from 1 species
GCCCGGAUGGUCUAGUGGUAAGCAGCCCUCAAAUCAAUGAUCUGUCUUGGCUUUCAGUGUCUAACUAAAUAAUAGGUAUGAUUCUCGCUUUGGGUGCGAGAGGCCCCGCGUUCGAAUCGCGGUUCGGGCC